AUUGAACGCUGGCGGCAGGCCUAACACAUGCAAGUCGAGCGGAUGAAGGGAGCUUGCUCCUGGAUUCAGCGGCGGACGGGUGAGUAAUGCCUAGGAAUCUGCCUGGUAGUGGGGGAUAACGUCCGGAAACGGGCGCUAAUACCGCAUACGUCCUGAGGGAGAAAGUGGGGGAUCUUCGGACCUCACGCUAUCAGAUGAGCCUAGGUCGGAUUAGCUAGUUGGUGGGGUAAAGGCCUACCAAGGCGACGAUCCGUAACUGGUCUGAGAAGAUGAUCAGUCACACUGGAACUGAGACACGGUCCAGACUCCUACGGGAGGCAGCAGUGGGGAAUAUUGGACAAUGGGCGAAAGCCUGAUUCAGCCAUGCCGCGUGUGUGAAGAAGGUCUUCGGAUUGUAAAGCACUUUAAGUUGGGAGGAAGGGCAGUAAGUUAAUACCUUGCUGUUUUGACGUUACCAACAGAAUAAGCACCGGCUAACUUCGUG
rnacentral:rRNA from 1 species